AGCAGCCGCGGUAAUUCCAGCUCCAAUAGCGUAUAUUAAAGUUGUUGCAGUUAAAAAGCUCGUAGUUGAACUUCAGGCCCGGCUGGGCGGUCCGCCUUCCGGGCGAGUACUGCCUGUGGUCGGGUCCUACCUUCUGGCGAAGCGUCAUGGCCUUAACCGGCCGUGGCGGGGAACCAGGACUUUUACUGUGAAAAAAUUAGAGUGUUCAAAGCAGGCACGCGCUUGAAUACAUUAGCAUGGAAUAAUGGAAUAGGACAGUGGUUCUAUUUGUUGGUUUCUAGGACCGUUGUAAUGAUUAAUAGGGAUAGUUGGGGGCAUUAGUAUUCAAUUGUCAGAGGUGAAAUUCUUGGAUUUAUUGAAGACUAACUACUGCGAAAGCAUUUGCCAAGGAUGUUUUCAUUAAUCAAGAACGAAAGUUAGGGGAUCGAAGACGAUCAGAUACCGUCGUAGUCUUAACCAUAAACUAUGCCGACUAGGAAUCGGGCGAUGUUGACAAAAUGACGCGCUCGGCACCUCAUGG
rnacentral:rRNA from 1 species